rnacentral:misc_RNA from 1 species
AUGAUUGCGAAUGGUCGCCUUCAGUGCUGGCUCUUGCAAGUGCACGUUGGUGGCUUUCAUCCAAUACCCUUGUGAACCUUUGGCCUCUUGCUGGCUUCGGCCGGCAGAGGAUUUUUUUACACACACUCGAAUGUAAUGAAAACUUAUUGUCGUGCGCAAGCACUAAUGUA